rnacentral:tRNA from 1 species
UCCCUGGUGGCUCAGACAGUAAAGAAUCUGCUUCCGAUGCAGGAGACCCAGGUUCGAUCCCUGGGUUGGGAA